rnacentral:rRNA from 1 species
UACGGAGGGAGCUAGCGUUGUUCGGAAUUACUGGGCGUAAAGCGCGCGUAGGUGGUUCAGCAAGUUGGAUGUGAAAGCCCUGGGCUCAACCUGGGAACUGCAUCCAAAACUACUGAGCUAGAGUACGGUAGAGGGUAGUGGAAUUUCCUGUGUAGCGGUGAAAUGCGUAGAUAUAGGAAGGAACACCAGUGGCGAAGGCGGCUCGCUGGACAAGUAUUGACGCUGAGGUGCGAAAGCGUGGGGAGCAAACAGGAUUAGAUACCCCAGUAGU